AUUGAACGCUGGCGGCAUGCCUUACACAUGCAAGUCGAACGGCAGCAUGAUCUAGCUUGCUAGAUUGAUGGCGAGUGGCGAACGGGUGAGUAAUACAUCGGAACGUGUCCUGUAGUGGGGGAUAACUAGUCGAAAGAUUAGCUAAUACCGCAUACGACCUGAGGGUGAAAGUGGGGGACCGCAAGGCCUCAUGCUAUAGGAGCGGCCGAUGUCUGAUUAGCUAGUUGGUGGGGUAAAGGCUCACCAAGGCGACGAUCAGUAGCUGGUCUGAGAGGACGAUCGGCCACACUGGGACUGAGACACGGCCCAGACUCCUACGGGAGGCAGCAGUGGGGAAUUUUGGACAAUGGGCGAAAGCCUGAUCCAGCAAUGCCGCGUGUGUGAAGAAGGCCUUCGGGUUGUAAAGCACUUUUGUCCGGAAAGAAAUGGCUCUGGUUAAUACCUGGGGUCGAUGACGGUACCGGAAGAAUAAGGACCGGCUAACUACGUG
rnacentral:rRNA from 1 species